CAAUUAAAAUUGGAUGAAAAAGUUAAUUCAGAAGUGCACAUUCAUGAAGCAGCAUCUGAAGAAGGAAAGGGUGAACUAGAUUUACGUGAUUCCCAAGCAACACUUCCUGAUGAGUUGCUACCCAGCCUUAACGCCUAUGUUAAUCUGGAAAGAAGCAUAAUUGUACAUCCAUCUGCAAAUAAAGAACAAAUGCCUAUGAAUGUUUCAAGAGUCGGGAGACAAUCUAAAUUCAAGGAGUCACCAUUCACUACAAAAUUUGGCUCAGCAGAAGGUUUGUACUAUAACCUUUUAUUUGGUUGCAUUUAUCAAUAUUCUUUAUUUUUAUACAUUAAUUUCUUUUUCUUUUCAUUGAAAUUAUGAAGGGAGCACAGAAGUGCAGACCAAAAAAUUCAACUUGAAG
rnacentral:lncRNA from 1 species